rnacentral:tRNA from 1 species
GCCUGGGUGGCUCAGUCGGUUAAGCAUCUGACUUCGGCUCAGGUCGUGAUCUCACAGUUUGUGAGUUUGAGCCCCACGUCGGGCU